rnacentral:rRNA from 1 species
ACGCUGGCGGCGUGCUUAACACAUGCAAGUCGAACGAUGAAGCCUAGCUUGCUAGGUGGAUUAGUGGCGAACGGGUGAGUAAUACGUGAGUAACCUACCUUUAACUCUGGGAUAAGCCUGGGAAACUGGGUCUAAUACCGGAUACGACCAAUCUCCGCAUGGGGUGUUGGUGGAAAGCGUUAUGUAGUGGUUAUAGAUGGGCUCACGGCCUAUCAGCUUGUUGGUGAGGUAACGGCUCACCAAGGCGACGACGGGUAGCCGGCCUGAGAGGGUGACCGGCCACACUGGGACUGAGACACGGCCCAGACUCCUACGGGAGGCAGCAGUGGGGAAUAUUGCACAAUAGGCGCAAGCCUGAUGCAGCGACGCCGCGUGAGGGAUGACGGCCUUCGGGUUGUAAACCUCUGUUAGCAGGGAAGAAGAGAAAUUGACGGUACCUGCAGAGAAAGCGCCGGCUAACUACGUGCCAGCAGCCGCGGUAAUACGUAGGGCGCGAGCGUUGUCCGGAAUUAUUGGGCGUAAAGAGCUUGUAGGCGGUUUGUCGCGUCUGCUGUGAAAGGCCGGGGCUUAACCCCGUGUAUUGCAGUGGGUACGGGCAGACUAGAGUGCAGUAGGGGAGACUGGAACUCCUGGUGUAGCGGUGGAAUGCGCAGAUAUCAGGAAGAACACCGAUGGCGAAGGCAGGUCUCUGGGCUGUAACUGACGCUGAGAAGCGAAAGCAUGGGGAGCGAACAGGAUUAGAUACCCUGGUAGUCCAUGCCGUAAACGUUGGGCACUAGGUGUGGGGGACAUUCCACGUUUUCCGCGCCGUAGCUAACGCAUUAAGUGCCCCGCCUGGGGAGUACGGCCGCAAGGCUAAAACUCAAAGAAAUUGACGGGGGCCCGCACAAGCGGCGGAGCAUGCGGAUUAAUUCGAUGCAACGCG